UACGAGGGGGGCUAGCGUUGCUCGGAAUCACUGGGCGUAAAGCGCACGUAGGCGGAUUGUUAAGUCAGGGGUGAAAUCCUGGAGCUCAACUCCAGAACUGCCUUUGAUACUGAGAAGCUUGAGUCCGGGAGAGGUGAGUGGAACUGCGAGUGUAGAGGUGAAAUUCGUAGAUAUUCGCAAGAACACCAGUGGCGAAGGCGGCUCACUGGCCCGGUACUGACGCUGAGGUGCGAAAGCGUGGGAGCAACAGGG
rnacentral:rRNA from 1 species